rnacentral:rRNA from 1 species
UAGGGGGCAAGCGUUGUCCGGAUUUAUUGGGCGUAAAGAGCUCGUAGGUGGUUCGGUAAGUCGGAUGUGAAAUCUCCAGGCUCAACCUGGAGGGGUCAUUCGAUACUGCCGUGACUAGAGGUCGGUAGGGGAGUGUGGAAUUCCUGGUGGAGCGGUGAAAUGCGCAGAUAUCAGGAGGAACACCCGUAGCGAAGGCGGCACUCUGGGCCGAUACGGACACUGAGGAGCGAAAGCGUGGGGAGCGAACAGG